UAGGAUUAGAUACCCUAUUAUUCUAUAACUUACUAACGUUGCCAGAAUACUACGAACUUUUGUUUAAAAUUCAAAGAACUUGGCGGUGUCUAAUCAAAACAGGGGAACCUGUCCUUUAAUUCGAUAAUCCACGUCAUCAUUACCAUUUCUAACAAAGCCUGUGUACUGCCGUCGCCAGUUCACCUCUAAAAGAGUGUACAACAAAUAUAUUCUAUAUUACGUCAGGUCAAAGUGCAGCUUAUGAAAUGGAAGAGAUGGGUUACAACCUCAAUAAAGACCACGAAGUAUUCACUAAAUAAGAAUAUGAAGGUGGACUUGUUAGUAAUAAGAGUACAUACUCUAAUGAACAUGAAUCUAAGACAUGCAC
rnacentral:rRNA from 1 species